rnacentral:rRNA from 1 species
GACGAAGGGGGCUAGCGUUGUUCGGAAUUACGGGGCGGAAAGCGUGCGCAGGCGGCGCCGCAAGUCAGGCGUGAAAUCCCCGAGCUUAACUUGGGAAUGGCGCUUGAAACUACGGUGCUGGAGUGUGGCAGAGGGAGGUGGAAUUCCACGUGUAGCGGUGAAAUGCGUAGAGAUGUGGAGGAACACCGAUGGCGAAGGCAGCCUCCUGGGCCAACACUGACGCUCAUGCACGAAAGCGUGGGGAGCAAACAGG